CCCCCCAAAAAAAAAAGGGGGGGAAAGAAAAAAAAGAAACUGAGGCUGUGAUGAUGCUUUCUUCUUUUCUGCGCAAAACAAUGGGAAAGAGAAAUAAACGGACCCAUAUCUUGGCGGGGCAACUCGGAUGCUAGUGAUUUUAUGUCAUGCAAUCGGUUUGCAGUCAUGCGAUGACGUUAUUUUCUUGUUUUAUCAAUAGAUCUGAGCCUCAAUUUUACUGUUUGUCUUUGGUAUGUUGGAAAUAUUUAUCAUGAUGAAAUCAGUAUUUGGUUACCGAUGUAUCCAUAUGAGAAAAGAAAAGUUGGGAAAUUUUCAGGAUGGAACCAAGAAUUUUCCAAAAAAAAAUUCAGCCGAGAAAGUGAAAUGAGGUUAAGAGAGAGUAGGGAUUUUCCGUCAAGGGUGGCUGCCCCUCUCUGUUGUGCCAAUGAUUUUCUUUAGCUACUUAACCAACAGCCCUUGUUCAUGAAAUACAAACAGCUAUUCAGUCUGCAGCUUCAGCCAUAGAUCUGUGUGUGUGUGUGUGUGUGUUUCUGUUUCCUCCUUUUGAGUAAUUGUAACAAAGAGGCAGUGAUAAUAAUCUCUCACUUUCAGGGCUAACAAAAUCGGGCAUUGAGGACAAUCUGACCCGUAUCUUGGCCUGGCAAAUCCCCGGAUGGCCUGCAUUUGAGGCUCUCUAUUAGUCUCUUUUGCAUGCAACCGGUGAUUUUGCAGCCAUGGCCUGUUUGCAUUUUCUUUGUUCGGGCAAAAUUCAGUAUAUGAGCCUUAGAUUUCUGGGAAUCAAACUUGGGACCUCUUGUGCUUUGAAAUUCUAACUCUAGCUAAAGAUCAAAGUUCAAACAAAUGAGGUAUCACAUAAAGAUGGGUACCUUUUCUUCUCAGAGAUUUCAAUCCAAAAACACUUUGCUAUCUCAGUGAAUGUGGUUGAAAGAUAGAUAUAUAAAUAGAAAGUUGUUGCUUUUCCUGCAAACCCAAAUCUAAAGGAAAGUGAAAGACAUGUUGAACAAGAUGUUGGACUUGAAUUCAGUGCCUGAAGCCUACUUUAAGUUCACAUUGGCUUCUUGUUUAACCUCUCCAUUGCUAGAAGGAAAUAAAGGUUGCUCUAACUGGUUUUCUUGAUUAGAAGUUUGUGUGUUCUUUAUAUUGUCAUUUGCAUGAAAGCAGUGUUGUGAAGAGCGUGAAGCAAGGAAAAGCGACAACGAGAAGCGAAGUGCUCGCUUUUUUGAAGUGAAGCGGAAUUUAAAAAAAAAAAAUUAAAAUAAAUACUGGGCAGCAUAAAACAGUGAAAGAAGAACUGGACAGCAUUUCAACGAAGAGGAGAAGAUUGAGAAAGAAGAACCGAAGGGAAAAAAAAAAUUCGCCAGCAUUUCGCUGCUAUUUGAACGCUGAAACAGUGGGAGAAGGAGAAGGAGAAGGAGAAGGAGAAAUCACAUACCUGUUGCUGCUGGUCGUAUAUUGAAGUUGAAAAGUGUACAAGACUUGGAACCCUAGUCGCCUCUUUCUCUCUGUUGCUGCUGGUUGUACGUUUUAAUAAAAGAACACCUUUUUAAAUUAAAUAGGUUGACAGGUGUUUAAAACUCAGAAGCGCUCGCUUCGGUUGCCUCGCUUCGUUUCAGCGCUUCUCGCUUUUUAGUGGGAAGCGCACGCUUUUGCCUACCUGAGUCGCUUCAUAUAGCAGAAGCGGUCAUAGGGUCGCCUCGCUUCGCUUCUCGCUUCAAGCAAGGAAGCGACCGCUUUUCACAACCCUGCAUGAAAGGCCCAGAAAGGUAUGCUUGAGAAAUUAGCUGGACCUUCCAAUGGUAAGAUGUAAAAUGGAGGUCAAAUUCGGGCAGUAUUAAUAUGCAUGUAUAUGUUCUUGCCGUCUUAGGCUGCUUCUUAGCUGCUUACUCCACUACCACCUGUUAACAUAGCAAUUCUGAUGAAAAAUAUCUUAAGUCAGGCUUGGGAUCUAAUGAAACUGUAUCUUGGCUGGGCAAUCCAGAAUUGCAGCCAUGGCGGUGACUUUGUUCUUUCUCUGAGCAAAUGAAUAAAAAAAGAAAACAAAUGGACGUGUAUCUUGGCAGGGCAACCCGGAUGGCAAAUGAUUUUUGUGUCAUUCAACCGGUGUUUGCAGCCAUGGCGAUGUCUUCAUUUUCGUCUUAUUUUCCUCAAAAGAUCCGAGCCUCAAAUUCUCUUAGGGUGUCUUUGGUAUACAACAACAACAACUGCGCCUCAAGCCUAUAUUAAUCCUCACUCUCCAUGUAACUUCAUCUAAAGCUCAUGCCAGUCUAAUACAAAAUGUUUGGGACCCUAAUGAUUGGCAAUUUGAACCCUACGUGAAUCUAACACGCAACCUUCUGAUCUGAAGUCAGACAUGCUACAUUCACCAUGACAAGUCAGCCUAGAGAGAGAAUUGAGGCUAAUAGAGGGAAGGGAUUUUCUUCUAAGAGUGGUUGUCCCUCUCUGUUUGUGCCAAUGAUUUUCUUUAGCAGCUAAACCAACAGCCCUUGUUCAUGAAAUACUCGGCCUGAUCAUGUAAAAGCAAUGCAUUAAUGCUUAAUCUUCAUAUGUUUUCAAUCAGCAGCUUCAGCCAUAAACUUGCAUCUCUGUGUGUGUGUUUUUGGCAUGUUUCGUUUUCCUCAUUUUGAGUUUAGAGGCUGGGAUGUUCAAUUUCUAGGCUGACGAAAUUGGGCAUUGAGACAAUCCAAUCCGUAUUUUUGCUUGGGAAAUGGACGGGUGAUUUUGCAGCCAUGGUUUGGUUGCCUGAUCAAAAUGCAGAUCUGAGCCUCAAAUUUCAGGGAAUCGAACCCGGGUCCUCUUGUUCUUUGAAAUCUGUUAAUGUUUGGUCCAAAUUUUAGCUCAAGUUUCGGACCAAAAGAAUGAGGUGCCAGAGAAGAUGGGUACUCUUUCUUCUCUGGUAAGCCCAUGAUUUCAAAACCAAAAGCACUUUGCUUUCUCAUUGACUGUUGUUGAUAGAUAGAUAUAUGGAUAGAAAUUUUUCUGAUUCCAUGUAAAGCCAAAUCAAUUUAUCGACUAUGCUCAAUCCCUGGGCAUAAAUGAUUGGAAAUGCUAUAGGAAGGGAUUGAACAUUCGACCUUGUGGUUAACAGCCACACGCUCUAACCAACUGAGCUACACCAUGCAAUUUUCUGUUGCCAUUGAUGUGAUGCUGAUAGCAUUGGUACACCCUAUGUUCCAAUUUAUGUGUCUUGAAACUGUCCAAAUUUCUAGGGAAAAGUUUCCAUUUUUCCGCGAGGCAGUGAUGAUAUUGCUUAAUCUGGGCUGUUAUUUGGGGCAUGGAGAAAGCCGGACUUGUAUCUUGGCGUGGCAAACCAGGAUCAUUCAAUUUGUUCAUUUUGCAGCCAUGGUGUUGUCGUCUUCUCUUUGCCCCAUUUUAUACAGAUCUGAGCCUCAACUUCCAAUGAGUCACUGUGGACUUUCCAGGAUCUGAACCCAGAACAGCACCCCGGUGCACGAAGCAUCGUGCAUUCACGCAGGGUCAGGGGUGUAAUGUAGGCAGCCCUUUCCUGUGUGGCUGAUUUCACGGCUCGAACCCAUGAUCUAUAGGUCACGCGGAGACAACUUUAUUGGUGCUCCACGGCUCCCCUUCGAGUAAAACCCAGAACCUCAGAUGAAAAUCCAGUUCAUUUUAGCUCAAAAGAAUGAGGGAAUCGGAGAAAAAUGGGGAAUGUUUCAGGGUGGUUGACCAUCUCCGGCAUGCCUAUGAUUUCUUCUUUGCUCAAACAAACAGCUCUUUUUGCAUAGGUUCUUGCAGUCUACAGCAAAAUGGAACUCCAGCCCAGUAUGAAGAAUGAGGCCAACUGGGAGAAAAAGGAAUUUCAUGGAGGGUGGUUUCCCUCUCUGCUUGGCCUAUGAUUUCUCCAUCUACCAAAGCAACAACCCUCUUCAGAAGAAGAAAGCAGGCAAGUAUUGUUGAUAGCAGUGGUACUAUUUCUUUUGAGCUUAAGACAAUGUUUUUGGUCCAAAACAUCCCCCGAUCUGAAGGUUCUGUUUGUUUGAUGAGGACUUUUGAACUUGUGCUAACGCCUACUAGAACUAUGGAAAAGUUCCCAUUUUUCGAAAGAGGCAGUGAUGAUAUUGCUAGUCUACUCUGAAAUUUGGGGCAUGGAGAAAAUCUGACCUGUACCUUGGCAUGGCAAACCCGGAUGGUUUGUGAUUGUGGCUUCUCUUUCACAUGCAACCGGUUCUUUGCAGGCAUGGCGUGAUCACCUUCUCUUUGCCCCAUUUUAUUCAUAUCUGAGCCUCAAUUUCCAAACAGUCCAUCUGGAUGUUUCAGGACUCGAACUCAGGACCUCUUCGAGUGGAAACCCAUGUUAUAUAUAUCCGGAGAAACAUGGUAUAUAUGUGUUAAAAACAGAUCUUUUCUAGAUACCCAGAUUGUCGUCGUCGUUGUUGUUGCUACUGGAAUUUCUUCUGUUUCUCCUGUUCGUGCUGCUAUUUGGCUGUUUUAUGAACCAAACAGCAAGAAAUCAAUGUAAGAACAGGGAGAAUUUAACGAUGUGAUGAUAAUGCUACGCGGCGGCCCUUCGAGAAAAAGAAUGAGACAUUAGAGAGAUGGGAUUUUCUGUAAAGGGUGGUUGCCCCUCUCUGCUAUGUCCAUGCAUUCUCCAUUCAUAAAAAAACAACCCUUUCAUGAGAAAAAAGAAAGGAAAAAGAUAAGAAAAGGGACUAUGGGGGUGUUUGGAUUGGCUUAAAGCUCUUUUCUGCUGCUACAACAGCUGAUUUGCACAAAUAGCGAUUUUAUGACCCCUUGUAUUUAGAACAAGGUAGAAAUGACACACAGGGUAGCCACUUUUAAUACUGGGCUAUGAUGAUUUGCUUCUUUCUUUUUGGACCAUCACCUUCACUAGAUUUGAGAAAAUACGACCCGUAUCUUGACGGGGCGACCUGGUAUGGCAUCAUCUGCAAACCGGUGUCUGCAGCCAUGGCGUGGUCCCUUUCUCUUUGCAGGUUCAUAAAAAGAAAGAAUCUGAGCCCUAAAAGUUAUGACAACCAUUUGAUGGUCUUGAAUGGAUGGUCGUUCUCUGAACUGGAAAACACUGUUGGGUUCUUCAGUUUUUUCUUGAACACCCAAUUAUCAUAUGCAGUUCUCCGUCUAAUUUUUAGCUCAAAAAUGAGGCAAUUGGAGAAAUAUGGUGAUUUCAGGGUGAUUGACCAUCUCCGGCAUGCCAAGGAUUUCUAUGUUGCUCCAAACGAACAGCCCUUUCUGAGUAUGCAUGCAUCUGUCUCUCUAUUUGUUAAUACUUGUUAAUAUUGUGCUCCUGCGUGGUUGUCUUUUCAAGCAAAGCAGCAAAAAAGCAUAGAAAAGGAGGGUUAUUUUCUUGACUACAGGCUUCCAUUAGAUUCUCUCUUAUAAAUAGAAUGUUGUACUACACAAAAAUGGAGGUUCAGCCCAGUAAGAUGAAUGAUGCCACCAGAGAGAAAAGGGAAUUCUUGGAGGGUGGUUGCCUCCUCUGUUUGGCCUAUGAUUUCUUCAUCAAUAAAAAACCAACAACCCUCUUCAGAAAUACUAGUACAUGGUUUCUGACCUCUCUGAGCUUAAGCCAGAUAUCCUCUAAUCUUGGCUAUGGCUUGUCAAAAAUUGCCUGAAAUUGUCCAAACGCCUACUACGGAAAAGUUCCCAUCUUUCCAAAGAGGCAGUGAUGAUAUUGCUAAUCUGGGCUGAUAAAUCGGGGUUGAAGACAAUCCGACCCGUAUCUUGGUAGGGCAAACCGGUUAUAUUGCAGCCAUGGCGUGUUGUCGUCUUCUCUUUGCCCCAUUUUACACAGAUCUGAGCCUCAACUUCCAACUAGUACAUCUGGACUUCCCGGGACUCGAACCAAGAUCUGGACUUUUGGGGACUUGAACCCAGCAUCUCUUGUUUGGUGAAACCCAUUUGGGUUAUUCAGUUUUUCUUGAAACCUUGCCGCUAUUUCCAUCAAACUUCUAGCUAAAAGAAUGAGGCAAUUGGGGAAAAAAGGGAUCGUUUAGGGUGGUUGACCAUCUCCGGCAUGCCUACAAUUUCUAGUUUAAUUUAGUUCUAAAAAACAAUUGGUGUCGAUUAUAUGUGUGUGUGUGUGUUUUAGUUCUAAAAAACAACUGUUGUUGAUUAUGUGUGUGUGUGUUUAACCCAACGCCAUACAUUGAGAACUAUUUUGAUUAUUUUCUCUCUGUUUUCUGUUACUGUUAAUCUAUGUUCCUCACAGGCUGCAGUCUAUUGCAAAGCAACAGCAGAAACAUUGAAAAGGAAAAUGACGGAGCUGUGAUGAUUGAUUGUUAUUGAUCAUAGGAACCUGGCAUUGUAGUUUCAGGCCUGUAUCUUGGCGAGGCGGUCCGUAUUAUAGGGUUUGCAGCCAUGGCAGUGUCAAAGAACUCAUUGCCUGAGAUCAAUUACUUAUCUAAGCUUCAAGUCUUUUUAAAAUGGCUGAAUACAUCGACGGCCCCUCAAACUUGCCAGAAAUUUUCAUUUCGACACCUGACUAAGGGGGGUUCUAUUGAUUACCUGAACUCGAGCCAAACUGUGUUUAUUAGACACACGUUGCUGAAGUUGUCCAAACAGGCUAUUCUGGAAAAGUUAACAUUUUCCAGAAGAGGCAGUGAUAAUAGUGCUAAUCUGGGCUGAGGUAUGGAGAAUCCAACCCGUAUCUUGGCAUGGCAAAUCCGGAUGGUUUGUGAUUGGGGCUUCUCUUUCACAAGCAACCGGUUCUUUUGCAGCCAUGGUGUUGUCGCUUUCUCUUUGCCCCAUUUCAAGCAGAUCUGAGCCUCAACUUCCAAUUGCUCUUUAGAUAGGGUCCUAAAAGUGGCUAUUUGUGUACUUCCCCUAUUCUGUAUCUAGGGCGAUCCGGUAUGGCAUCAUUUGCUAGUCAGUGUCUGCAGCCAUGGCAUGUGUCGCUUUCUCUUCGCGUAGUUCAUAGAAUACCCAUUUGAUGGUCUUGACUCUUAAAUGGAUGGCCGUUCUCUGGAACAGGAACACACCGGUUGGGUUCUUCAGUUUUUCCUUGAACACCCCAUACCAGAUGCUGUUCUCCAUGAAAUUUCUAGCUAAACAAUAUACUAUAGUAAGUAUUAAAGAAAAAAGGUGUUCCAAAAACAUACUCCUUAGUACUUCAAAAAUGUUUGCAAAGUUGUUUACAAAAAUUUUAUGUACCAAAAUUCUUAUCUUGUGACUCUGAAGACCGCACGUGGUACAUCAUGUGCAGUCUGACAAGCAACAAGCUCUAACACUAAUGCCACUAAUUCUCUUACUUGUCUAAAUUUAUUAUUACAAUAAUUUUUUUUGAUAAGGUAAAUUGUAUUAAUCAAAAGGGAGAAAAAAACUCCCGUAUACAAGAAGUAUACCAAAAAGUAGAGAAUUUACAUCAGAACAUGAUUCUCUACAAAAGACGUCCAAUCUUCUACACAAGUAGGUGCUAUAUGGGUGCACCAAAAAGCGAUCAAAGAUAAAAGGCUAUUCUUAAGUUGUGAAAAAGAAGACUCAAUCCCCUAAAAAAACUCUCAUAUUUCUCUCUCCCCAAACUAUCCACAUGAGAGCUAAUGGGGCGAACUUCCACGCCUUUUGCUUGCUUCUUCUGCGGAAAUCGGCCCAGCUAUAUAGCAUAUCCUUUACACUGCUUGGCAUCACCCAUUGAACACCAAAAAGAUUUAGGAUUGCCCUCCACAAACCCGAGGAAACAAGGCAAUGCAACAGAAGGUAAUCAACUUUUUCCCCUGAGCUUUUACACAUGUAGCACCAACUAACAAGUGUAAUUCCUCUCUUUCGCAGAUUUUCAGCAGUCAAGAUCACUCUCCUAGCCGCUAGCCAUGCAAA